rnacentral:rRNA from 1 species
GAUGAACGCUGGCGGCGUGCCUAAUACAUGCAAGUCGAGCGAACAGAUGAGGACCUUGCUCCUCUGACGUUAGCGGCGGACGGGUGAGUUACACGUGGAUAACCUACCUAUAAGACUGGGAUACCUUCGGGACCCCGGUGCUAAUACCGGCUAAUAUCUUGAACCGCCUGGUUCCCUUGUGAACGCCGGUUUUGCUGUCACUUAUAGAUGGAUCCGCGCCGCAUUAGCUAGUUGGUAAGGUAACGGCUUACCAAGGCAACGAUGCGUAGCCGGCCUGAGAGGGUGAUCGGCCACACUGGAACUGAGACACGGUCCAGACUCCUACGGGAGGCAGCAGUAGGGAAUCUUCCGCAAAGGGCGAAAGCCUGACGGAGCAACGCCGCGUGAGUGAUGAAGGUCUUCGGAUCGUAAAGCUCUGUUAUUAGGGAAGAACAAAUGUGUAAGUAACUAGGCACGGCUUGACGGUACCUAAUCAGAAAGCCACGGCUAACUACGUG